UGGCGUUGAUGGGACUCGACAGCCGAUUACUUGUUUCAGCUGACACUUAUAAGGUAUAUAUCGGUUUGACGUUAUUUAUACAUGUGAUUGCACUUCGAUAUAUACAUUGAUGUACUGUGUGUGCCAUCAUACUGAUCCAGGGAUGACACGGAUACAUAGAGGCUUGACCGUCUGAGGUCGGGUCGCUACAGUUGGACGCAACACACUUUGCCUGAGAGGGUUGCCUCAGGCAAAGUGGCUACGUGUGUGCGGAUAUGUGAGGGCCCGAGCUUGGCAACCUCCCGGAGCUAAACCCCUUUUAUGUUUGUCAUGGGCCUCCUUUUAUAGAUCAAGGGGUUACCAAAGUGGCAAAUUAGUCUUUGCGUACUGAUUAGAUAGUAGACAGUGCUAUCAUACCUAACUCUGCAGGCUAGUAGGGCGCAUUAAAUUCACCUCUAGUGUCACAUCACAACGUGCCCGGCAAGGGCAGCUUCGCGCCUGCUUGCUUGACAUGUCCUAGGACAGGUGUCAUAUGGAGGUGUUGCUGUAGAAAGUGGCUUCCAUGUGGUGAAAAGUAGCCACUUAGUCAUCUUGGGGCUUGACACCGCACUGACCUGUGACUUGCAUUGAUCAUGAGGUGGAGCGGUGGCAUAAUUUGCCUCCGCAAGUCCCGACAGGUCCUGCCGGGACGGUCUGGAAGUAUGCUUCUAGGAAAAACCCAACCUCGCCAGGCUCGCCUGCCCGACAAGGGAGGUUCUUUCCUUGGCGUUAUCCCGCUUCUCUGGCUCGCCUUGGCCUUCUUGAUCUGUAUUUGGACACUUUGGCGAACUGGCCCUUCUCGCUUGGCUUGAUCUUGGUGCUGUAAUCUUGUUCUUGAGCCUAUGCACAGUCUGGGCAACAGACCUAGGGUUUGUUGCACCGACACUCUUCUCUUUUUCUCUACAUGUUCAGCAUGACUGUGUACAAUAUCUGACAUGAGUACAAAAAAAA
rnacentral:lncRNA from 1 species